rnacentral:rRNA from 1 species
UACGUAGGGUGCAAACGUUGUUCGGAAUUACUGGGCAUAAAGGGCACGUAGGUGGUUCGCUAAGUUACGUGUGAAAUCCCCGGGCUUAACCUGGGAACUGCGCUUGUAACUGGCAAGCUUGAGUGUGGCAGAGGGGGGUGGAAUUCCGGCGUGUAGCAGUGAAAUGCGUAGAUAUGCGGAGGAACACCGAUGGCGAAGGCAAUCCCCUGGACCUGUACUCGACGCUCAUGCACGAAAGCGUGGGGAGCAAACAGG